rnacentral:rRNA from 1 species
UACAGAGGUCUCGAGCGUUGUUCGGAUUCAUUGGGCGUAAAGGGCGCGUAGGCGGCGGGGUAAGUCUGGUGUGAAAUCUCGGAGCUCAACUCCGAAAUUGCACUGGAUACUGCUCUGCUAGAGGGCUGGAGAGGAGAUCGGAAUUCACGGUGUAGCAGUGAAAUGCGUAGAUAUGUGGAGGAACACCAAUGGCGAAGGCAGCCCCCUGGGUCAACACUGACGCUCAUGCACGAAAGCGUGGGGAGCAAACAGG